GACGAACGCUGGCGGCGUGCUUAACACAUGCAAGUCGAACGGUAAGGCCCUUCGGGGUACACGAGUGGCGAACGGGUGAGUAACACGUGGGUGAUCUGCCCUGCACUUCGGGAUAAGCCUGGGAAACUGGGUCUAAUACCGGAUAGGACCACUGCCUGCAUGGGUGGUGGUGGAAAGCUUUUGCGGUGUGGGAUGUGCCCGCGGCCUAUCAGCUUGUUGGUGGGGUAACGGCCCACCAAGGCGACGAUGCGUAGCCGACCUGAGAGGGUGAGCGGCGACACGGGGACUGAGCCACGGCCCAGACUCCUACGGAGGGCAGCAGUAGGGAAUCUUCCGCAAUGGACGAAAGGCUGACGGAGCAACGCCGGGUGGGUGACGAAGGUUUUCGGAUCGUAAAACUCUGUUGUGAGGGAAGAACAAGUACCAACUAACUACUGGUACCUUGACGGUACCUCACCAGAAAGCCACGGCUAACUACGUGCCAGCCGCCGCAGUAA
rnacentral:rRNA from 1 species